rnacentral:snRNA from 1 species
AUGUGAGGGCGAUCUGGCUGUGACAUCUGUUACCCCAUUGAUCGCCAGGGUUGAUUCGGCUGAUCUGGCUGGCUAGGCGGGUGUCCCCUUCCUCCCUCACCGCU